UUUAGGGUAUAUUCACACUCCAUAUGAUUCUCACCUGAUAUUGCCUCCUCAUUUCUCAAAUUGUAUUAUCAUAUUUCUUAAUUGCCUCAGUUUUGUCGGAAGGAAGCUUGUCUGACAAGAUGCAUCCAGGCACUUUCUUUUACUCACUUCACAGGACAACCGACGAUGUAGUACUUCUCUUAUUCCCAGUAGGACUUUCCAUUAGUAAAUUAGUGACUGGAAUUGGAACAGAAACUCAGGCUCUGUGCGCAAGCUAUGCUUCCCCAGAUGCCUGCCUUCCUGAUUCCAACCCCUGCACCCCUGCAGAGGAUCCCCACGGUGCAGGAUUUCCCUGUAUACAAAUAAGUCUUACCUAUCAGGUGGGAUUGGAAAUGGCCGGGUAAGGGCAGUUCCAACUAAUUUCUGGGGAUAGAUGAGUUUGUAUAUGUGUCUGUGAUGCAACAAACGUUCUUUGGGGUGCAUGGAAGGAGCUGAGGGCUUACUUACUUGGGCAGUAACAGGGAGAGGGCAACUCACUGAGGAGGAUCUUUAAGCCAAACCAAUUCAGUUUUCUUCUGAGGGCAGAGAUUUCAGGAGAGCAUCCUGGUGUGUAAUGAGAAGGAGCUCUGCUGCUUGGACUCUAGGGGAGUUAGAGGAGCUCCCUCCCUAAACAUAGUGCAAAAUCACAGGAUUCUUUCACCAAGGAAGAGCUCACCAUGCUCUGUUGUGAGCCCUCCUCAACUUCCACUUGCAGAGCCAAGGAGGGGACCAAGGGUAGCUGCAGUCUAUCUAUCUGCAGUCCAGUAGAGGGGUCAGAGGCAGGAAGGAGAGAGAGCAACUCCAGAAAGAACCACACCAGCAAGGAAUAACUCUGCUACUUUUCCAGAAAAUCACAUCAUCAGCAACUGACCAAGGGCAGAGAAUCAGAGAGAUGAUUGAUUCUCCAUGCCUGGCCUCUUUUGUUCCACAUAUGUUUGUGAAGUGUGUCCAUGAUGCUGUACACAGCGAUAGCUCACUCAUUGCUGAUAAUGAAGCCCAGCAGCUUACCCAUUUCACUGCAGUAAACAACAUAUUGCUUCUUGUUUGUGUGUCCUGAAUCACAGAGACAUGCACUGUACACUUCCGUGAGUUUGGACAGUUGCCUACAUUUAUACAACGACCACCUCUGGACUCACUGCUGUUCCAGCUUCUGCAAAUGCUAAGCUCAGCAUUUCCCCACACCAGGGUCUCUUUUGGAGUCUAGCUGAAGCACUUAAUGGGAAUCCACCUAAGUGUCCUCUGACUUUUUUGUUUAUGCCAGUAAAGAGUCCAGGGAAGCCAUGUCAGGAGUAGACAGUGCUGCCAGAUGUCCAUGUCUUAGUGAGAUCCAGAAUCAGUGGGGCACAUCUCCCAAGAGAGAAUUGCCAUUCUGCAUCUCCAUCAUGAGGAUGCUGCUGGACUACCUCUGCAGGAGUUUGCACUGAUGUUGUGCUACAAGGAACAAAGACCCUUCUCUGCUUUGGUUUUCUUCAGAAAUGGUCCUGGCUCUAUCUCCCACAUAUUCCAGCUUCCCACCAUUACAAUUGGGGUGGACUUUCCUUCUAAUUGUGGAACACAUUAAAUGGAGUUCUUGU
rnacentral:lncRNA from 1 species